AGAGAGAGACAUGCGCGCAUAUCAAUAAGCGGAGGAAAAGAAACUAAUUAGGAUUCCCUCAGUAACGGCGAGUGAAGCGGGAAGAGCUCAAAUUUGAAAUCUUCAAGGUUCUACCUUGACGAAUUGUAGUUUAAAGAAGUGUUUUCUGUUGGAGUUUUGGUAAAAGUUCUUUGGAAUAGGACAUCAUAGAGGGUGAGAAUCCCGUAUUUGACCAUUAUUUCCAGCUUUGUGAUACACUUUCAAAGAGUCGGAUUGUUUGGGAAUGCAGUCCAAAAUGGGUGGUAAAUUUCAUCUAAAGCUAAAUAUUGGCGAGAGACCGAUAGCGAACAAGUACCGUGAGGGAAAGAUGAAAAGAACUUUGAAAAGAGAGUUAAACAGUACGUGAAAUUGUCAAAAGGGAAGCGUUUGACACCAGUGUUGUUUUCUCGAAAAUCAAUUAAAAAAGGCAGGAUUUUGUGUUGUAUUGACUUUAUCAGCUUUCUGCACUCUUUUCUUGUCUUUUUUAAUGCACUUUUCGUUUAACAAGUCGACAUCAAUUUCUUUUGUUGUAAAAGGGUCAUUGGAAGGUGGCUUUCUUUUCGGAGAAAGUGUUUAUAGCCUUUGGCCUCUGCAAUCGGAGAGAUUGAGGUCUGCAGCGUAGAUCCUUCGGGGUUAGAUACAUUUGUGCUAAGUUAUAGCCUUUCAUAGACAACUUGUUGACUAUGAUCAGUCAUGUAGCUUACUCGCUUAUGCUAUUUUACCUACGCUUAGGAUGUUGAUGUGAUACUGCGAGCA
rnacentral:rRNA from 1 species